rnacentral:rRNA from 1 species
GCCUGCCCAGUGACUACGGGUUCAACGGCCGCGGUAUAUUGACCGUGCAAAGGUAGCGCAAUCACUUGUCUCUUAAAUAGAGACCUGUAUGAAUGGCUAGACGAGGGCUUAACUGUCUCCCCCUUCCAGUCAGUGAAAUUGAUCUAUCCGUGCAGAAGCGGGUAUAAUUCUACAAGACGAGAAGACCCUUUGGAGCUUAAGGUACAAAAUUCACCCAUGUUAAACAACUCCGUAGAAAGCAAGAACUUUGUGGAUAUGAAACUUUACCUUCGGUUGGGGCGACCACGGAGGAAAAACAAGCCUCCGAGUGGACUGGGCCAAAAACCCCUAAAGCUAAAAGAGACAUCUUUAAGCCGCAGAACAUCUGACCAAUAAUGAUCCGGCUAAGAAGCCGAUCAACGGACCAAGUUACCCUAGGGAUAACAGCGCAAUCCUCUCCCAGAGCCCAUAUCGACGAGGGGGUUUACGACCUCG